rnacentral:rRNA from 1 species
AGCGAACGCUGGCGGAAUGCUUAACACAUGCAAGUCGCGCGGUCAGCAAUGGCAGCGGCGGACGGGUGAGUAACGCGUAGGAAUGUGUCUUGAGGUGGGGGACAACCCUGGGAAACUGGGGCUAAUACCGCAUAUGGCCUGAGGGUCAAAGCAGCGAUGCGCCUUGAGAGCAGCCUGCGUCCGAUUAGCUUGUUGGUGGGUAAAGGCUUACCAAGGCGACGAUCGGUAGCUGGUCUGAGAGGACGAUCAGCCACACUGGGACUGAGACACGGCCCAGACUCCUACGGGAGGCAGCAGUGGGGAAUAUUGGACAAUGGGCGCAAGCCUGAUCCAGCAAUUCCGCGUGGGUGAAGAAGGUCUUCGGAUUGUAAAGCCCUUUCGACGG